UGUUAUGAUUGACAGGUUGAGAGUUCUUUCACGAUUCAGUGGAUGGUGGUGCAUGGCCGUUCUUAGUUGGUGGAGUGAUUUGUCUGGUUAAUUCCGAUAACGAACGAGACUCUCUCUUGCUAACUAACAACACGAUGCRCACUCGAACGUUCGCGUUCUUGUGYGUGUGAACGAUUGCUUCUUAGAGGGAUUUACAGCAGCCAAACACAGCCGAAUCGAGAAACCGAGAGCAAUAACAGGUCAGUGAUGCCCUUAGAUGUUCUGGGCUGCACGCGCGCUACAAUGCCUGGUUCAGCAGGUGUUUGUGCGAUACCCAAACGUACAUACCUUCUCUGAGAAGAGCUGGGUAAUCCUGUGAAAGCCUGUAUUGUAGCGCGUUCACGCGUGUACUCUUCUUGUGUUGAUUCGCGCGUGCCCUCACUUGUGRGUGGUGCGUGCCGUUUCUUCGCRGUUGAGAUGCAUUGCGUGUCAUUUGUGCACAUAUGCUUGGGGCAUGCUUGGGCCUGGGACUUGGAAUUCUUUCCCACAAACGAGGAAUGCCUAGUAGAGGCCAAUCACGGAGUUGGCCGCGACUGAGUCUAUGCCCUUUGUACACACCGCCCGUCGCUACUACCGAUUGUGGGUGCACGAGUGAGAUCUUUGGACUGUCUGAGCCUCGUGCGUGUGUGCAAAUGCACGUAUCGAGUUUUGCAAUGAUGGAAAGAGGCUCAAACC
rnacentral:rRNA from 1 species